rnacentral:rRNA from 1 species
GACGGGACCGCACAAGCGGUGGAUGAUGUGGAUUAAUUCGAUGCAACGCGAAAACCUUACCUACCCUUGACAUGUCCGGAAUCCCGAAGAGAUUUGGGAGUGCUCGCAAGAGAACCGGAACAUAGGUGCUGCAUGGCUGUCGUCAGCUCGUGUCGUGAGAUGUUGGGUUAAGUCCCGCAACGAGCGCAACCCUUGUCAUUAGUUGCCAUCAUUUGGUUGGGCACUCUAAUGAGACUGCCGGUGACAAACCGGAGGAAGGUGGGGAUGACGUCAAGUCCUCAUGGCCCUUAUGGGUAGGGCUUCACACGUCAUACAAUGGUCGGUACAGAGGGUUGCCAACCCGCGAGGGGGAGCCAAUCCCACAAAGCCGGUCGUAGUCCGGAUCGCAGUCUGCAACUCGACUGCGUGAAGUCGGAAUCGCUAGUAAUCGCGGAUCAGCAUGUCGCGGUGAAUACGUUCCCGGGUCUU